rnacentral:sRNA from 1 species
GAACAAAAACUAAAAAAAAA